UCGCCGCCAAAGGCGAGCGCAAAAUCCCUUUCUCCUCUCGGGAAAAUGUCAAGAUGAAAUCAAAAAGAAAUCAAAACUGCUGAGAGCGAAAAUCUACAUCGAAUUAUUUAAAAUGUUAGAACCAUUCAGUAACGCCUGUAGAAAGGGAAACAGCUGAAUUUCAAGUUCAAUAUACUUCCACUACAAAUGGGGAAUUGGCCACAGAUUUGUCUUCCACACCCCAGGGCAUAGCUGGACAAGACACACAUCUCUGGAAAAUGGAAGGAAGAAGAUAGAUGCUUCAGAAUCAGGAUUUAUCACCGGCAUAUGUCGUGAAAUGUGUUGUCUUUGCGACAUCAUCAUAGAAUAAACAAUUACAAUACAUCAACUACUCUGCUCAAGACCAGAAGAAACUGCUCAGCGCGUUGUGGAAACCAGCCUACCUUCCAUGGACUCUUUCUGCAUUCCUCACUACCUCAGUACAGCCAUCAUAAUCAAAGACCCCAAACACACCGGAUAUUUUCUCCUCCGAAGAUACACUCAGUGGCCACUUUAUUAGUCUUUUGUUGAGGAGAGAUGAAAAGGGAAGACACGUAUGGAGAGAGCUGGUAGACCAUUAGAUGGAAUGGACUGGGAUCUGAGGGUCUGAAGGUUGGCGACGUUCGGAGGAGACCAAUGGUGGAAGAAUGACUACUGAGUGAGCUCCAACGUGACUUUGACUGAAUUUUGGGUCCAUUUUUGUUUAUUUUCAUUACUAAUCCUAUAUUCAGAUUAAGAUUCAUAAAGUUCUAUCAUUUAAUUGCA